UGUGAUUCGUCACACUAUCAUUAACUGAAUCCAUAGGUUAAUGAGGCGAACCGGGGGAACUGAAACAUCUAAGUACCCCGAGGAAAAGAAAUCAACCGAGAUUCCCCCAGUAGCGGCGAGCGAACGGGGAGGAGCCCAGAGCCUGAAUCAGCAUGUGUGUUAGUGGAAGCGUCUGGAAAGGCGCGCGAUACAGGGUGACAGCCCCGUACACAAAAGCGCAUGUGCUGUGAGCUCGAUGAGUAGGGCGGGACACGUGGUAUCCUGUCUGAAUAUGGGGGGACCAUCCUCCAAGGCUAAAUACUCCUGACUGACCGAUAGUGAACCAGUACCGUGAGGGAAAGGCGAAAAGAACCCCGGCGAGGGGAGUGAAAAAGAACCUGAAACCGUGUACGUACAAGCAGUGGGAGCACCCUUUGGGUGUGACUGCGUACCUUUUGUAUAAUGGGUCAGCGACUUAUAUUCUGUAGCAAGGUUAACCGAAUAGGGGAGCCGGAGGGAAACCGAGUCUUAACCGGGCGUUAAGUUGCAGGGUAUAGACCCGAAACCCGGUGAUCUAGCCAUGGGCAGGUUGAAGGUUGGGUAACACUAACUGGAGGACCGAACCGACUAAUGUUGAAAAAUUAGCGGAUGACCUGUGGCUGGGGGUGAAAGGCCAAUCAAACCGGGAGAUAGCUGGUUCUCCCCGAAAGCUAUUUAGGUAGCGCCUCGUGAAUUCAUCUCCGGGGGUAGAGCACUGUUUCGGCUAGGGGGCCAUCCCGGCUUACCAACCCGAUGCAAACUGCGAAUACCGGAGAAUGUUAUCACGGGAGACACACGGCGGGUGCUAACGUCCGUCGUGAAGAGGGAAACAACCCAGACCGCCAGCUAAGGUCCCAAAGUCAUGGUUAAGUGGGAAACGAUGUGGGAAGGCCCAGACAGCCAGGAUGUUGGCUUAGAAGCAGCCAUCAUUUAAAGAAAGCGUAAUAGCUCACUGGUCGAGUCGGCCUGCGCGGAAGAUGUAACGGGGCUAAACCAUGCACCGAAGCUGCGGCAGCGACACUGUGUGUUGUUGGGUAGGGGAGCGUUCUGUAAGCCUGCGAAGGUGGCCUGUGAGGGUUGCUGGAGGUAUCAGAAGUGCGAAUGCUGACAUAAGUAACGAUAAAGCGGGUGAAAAGCCCGCUCGCCGGAAGACCAAGGGUUCCUGUCCAACGUUAAUCGGGGCAGGGUGAGUCGACCCCUAAGGCGAGGCCGAAAGGCGUAGUCGAUGGGAAACGGGUUAAUAUUCCCGUACUUGGUGUUACUGCGAAGGGGGGACGGAGAAGGCUAUGUUGGCCGGGCGACGGUUGUCCCGGUUUAAGCGUGUAGGUGUGUGUUCCAGGUAAAUCCGGUUCACUUUAACACUGAGGCGUGACGACGAGGCACUACGGUGCUGAAGCAACAAAUGCCCUGCUUCCAGGAAAAGCCUCUAAGCAUCAGGUAACAUCAAAUCGUACCCCAAACCGACACAGGUGGUCAGGUAGAGAAUACCAAGGCGCUUGAGAGAACUCGGGUGAAGGAACUAGGCAAAAUGGUGCCGUAACUUCGGGAGAAGGCACGCUGACACGUAGGUGAAGUGAUUUACUCAUGGAGCUGAAGUCAGUCGAAGAUACCAGCUGGCUGCAACUGUUUAUUAAAAACACAGCACUGUGCAAACACGAAAGUGGACGUAUACGGUGUGACGCCUGCCCGGUGCCGGAAGGUUAAUUGAUGGGGUCAGCGCAAGCGAAGCUCCUGAUCGAAGCCCCGGUAAACGGCGGCCGUAACUAUAACGGUCCUAAGGUAGCGAAAUUCCUUGUCGGGUAAGUUCCGACCUGCACGAAUGGCGUAAUGAUGGCCAGGCUGUCUCCACCCGAGACUCAGUGAAAUUGAACUCGCUGUGAAGAUGCAGUGUACCCGCGGCAAGACGGAAAGACCCCGUGAACCUUUACUAUAGCUUGACACUGAACAUUGAGCCUUGAUGUGUAGGAUAGGUGGGAGGCUUUGAAGUGUGGACGCCAGUCUGCAUGGAGCCGACCUUGAAAUACCACCCUUUAAUGUUUGAUGUUCUAACGUGGACCCGUUACCCGGGUUGCGGACAGUGUCUGGUGGGUAGUUUGACUGGGGCGGUCUCCUCCUAAAGAGUAACGGAGGAGCACGAAGGUUGGCUAAUCCUGGUCGGACAUCAGGAGGUUAGUGCAAUGGCAUAAGCCAGCUUGACUGCGAGCGUGACGGCGCGAGCAGGUGCGAAAGCAGGUCAUAGUGAUCCGGUGGUUCUGAAUGGAAGGGCCAUCGCUCAACGGAUAAAAGGUACUCCGGGGAUAACAGGCUGAUACCGCCCAAGAGUUCAUAUCGACGGCGGUGUUUGGCACCUCGAUGUCGGCUCAUCACAUCCUGGGGCUGAAGUAGGUCCCAAGGGUAUGGCUGUUCGCCAUUUAAAGUGGUACGCGAGCUGGGUUUAGAACGUCGUGAGACAGUUCGGUCCCUAUCUGCCGUGGGCGCUGGAGAACUGAGGGGGGCUGCUCCUAGUACGAGAGGACCGGAGUGGACGCAUCACUGGUGUUCGGGUUGUCAUGCCAAUGGCACUGCCCGGUAGCUAAAUGCGGAAGAGAUAAGUGCUGAAAGCAUCUAAGCACGAAACUUGCCCCGA
rnacentral:rRNA from 1 species